rnacentral:rRNA from 1 species
CGCAUUAGUUAGUUGGCGGGGUGAAGGCCCACCAAGACGAUGAUGCGUAGCCGGACUGAGAGGUUGAACGGCCACAUUGGGACUGAGAGACGGCCCAAACUCCUACGGGAGGCAGCAGUAGGGAAUUUUCGGCAAUGGGGGCAACCCUGACCGAGCAACGCCGCGUGAACGACGAAGUACUUCGGUAUGUCAAGUUCUUUUAUCAGGGAAGAAUGGCUUACGGAAAAGUGAGCGUGACGGUACCUGAUGAAUAAGCCCCGGCUAACUAUGUGCCAGCAGCCGCGGUAAUACAUAGGGGGCAAGCGUCAUCCGGAAUUAUUGGGCGUAAAGGGUGCGUACGUGGCCGUUUAAGUCUUCGGUGUAAGUGCAAAGCUCAACCUUGUGAUGCUAAAGACCCAGGAUGGCUUGAGUGUGGUAGAGGCAAGUGGAAUACCAUGUGUAGCGGUUAAAUGCGUACAUAUUUGGAGGAACACGGUGGCAACGCGGCUGCUGGGCACAAUGAACUGAGGCACAAAGGGGCGACAACGGAUAAUCCCGGUUGCCCCGGA